GAUGAACGCUGGCGGCGUGCCUAAUACAUGCAAGUCGAGCGAACGGACGAGAAGCUUGCUUUUCUGAUGUUAGCGGCGGACGGGUGAGUAACACGUGGAUAACCUACCUAUAAGACUGGGAUAACUUCGGGAAACCGGAGCUAAUACCGGAUAAUAUUUUGAACCGCAUGGUUCAAAAGUGAAAGACGGUUUUGCUGUCACUUAUAGAUGGAUCCGCGCUGCAUUAGCUAGUUGGUAAGGUAACGGCUUACCAAGGCAACGAUGCAUAGCCGACCUGAGAGGGUGAUCGGCCACACUGGAACUGAGACACGGUCCAGACUCCUACGGGAGGCAGCAGUAGGGAAUCUUCCGCAAUGGGCGAAAGCCUGACGGAGCAACGCCGCGUGAGUGAUGUAGGUCUUCGGAUCGUAAAACUCUGUUAUUAGGGAAGAACAUAUGUGUAAGUAACUGUGCACAUCUUGACGGUACCUAAUCAGAAAGCCACGGCUAACUACGUG
rnacentral:rRNA from 1 species